ensembl:lncRNA
CUAGUAGUAGUAGUGCCCAGAAUAGAGCCAGCUGUGUGUAAGGCUCUAAGGGAAAACAGAAUAGAACCAGCUGUGUAUAAGGCUCUAAGGGAAAACAGAAUAGAACCAGCAGUGUAUAAGGCUCUAAGGGAAAACAGAAUAGAACCAGCAGUGUCUAAGGCUCUAAGGGAAAACAGAAUAGAACCAGCAGUGUCUAAGGCUCUAAGGGAAAACAGAAUAGAACCAGCUGUGUGUAAGGCUCUAAGGGAAAACAGAAUAGAACCAGCUGUGUAUAAGGCUCUAAGGGAAAACAGAAUAGAACCAGCAGUGUAUAAGGCUCUAAGGGAAAACAGAAUAGAACCAGCAGUGUCUAAGGCUCUAAGGGAAAACAGAAUAGAACCAGCAGUGUGUAAGGGAAAACAGAAUAGAACCAGCAGUGUCUAAGGGAAAACAGAAUAGAACCAGCUGUGUGUAAGGGAAAACAGAAUAGAACCAGCAGUGUGUAAGGCUCUAAGGGAAAACAGAAUAGAACCAGCUGUGUAUAAGGCUCUAAGGGAAAACAGAAUAGAACCAGCAGUGUAUA